GAGGGUGUGUCAGGUACGGCCGAGCUGCGCCCGUCCACGCUGCCCUGGCGGCGCGCUCCUCCGGGAGGAGCCCCGAAGCUGCCCUCCCGGAGCUUCCGAGGGGUCGGCUGCUGGGCGGGAGCGGAGAGGGGCGCAGGUCGCCAACGGGCCGCCCUGCCACAGCCGCGGGUUCUCAAGGGCGUUGGUGGCUCCACCAGCUCGCCCGCCCGACCUCCCGCCGCCUCAGACCCCGUAAACGUCAUUAUCUCCCCUUCUUGCUUUGGAUCUUCUGAAUUCCUGCAGUUGGGACAGCUCACGCAGAGCAAACUGACUUGCUAUGAAGUGUCGGCAACAGAGUGAGAGCACAUGGGUGAGAAACCUCCAACCCAGACAACAGAGCAGAGUGCUGUUAAACACUUUCUCACCCUUGAAGUGAUCACACACGUUCCGACAAGUGGCAGCCUCGCGGCUGCACGCUUGCUAGCCUCCUCCUUGCCUCCCUCCAUCUCCGGGCUUUGCGGCUUGUAAUCCUCUCUCAGCCUCUGAGAGGCCUGAGCAUCUUGGCCUUUACCUCGUCCUCUGGAAAGUCUUAAUAAGCGACUCUAGCGAUGUCUGCCAGCUUCUGUUUUGCUGUUUGUCUUCACAACCACAAAGCCGACCACUUGGUCCUUCCGUGCUGCUCCCAAGCCCCUGUGCUUUGAAUCCUCUGGGAGCUGGAAGAGUGUCAGGAAGGGAGGAGGUGCUGAGAACCUCUCUUCCUCAGGAGUCAAGCUGCUUGAUUCUUUUUCUUCUGCAGUGACUGGCAGUGAUCUUGUUGGAAAUCUCGGCUGUGGAAAAUGCUUUCACCAAGGGAUCUUGAGACUGCGUUGUUCCGAUAAGUUUUUGGAACCGUGGAGGGAACUGAGCUGACGUUCAUCUCGAAUCCAACAGAAGAGUUCUUCAAGUUAUUUAAUGUAUUUGUUUAGAGUCAAGGCCCUGUAGCCCUGACUGACCUGGAACUUGCUUUGUAGAUCAAGCUGAUUUGGAAUUCAAUAUCCACCUGCCUUUGCCUCUCAUUGCUGGGAUUAAAAGCAUGUGACACCAUG
rnacentral:lncRNA from 1 species